AUGGAGCACACCACGAGCGCCGCGUCGCCGAUGGCCGCCUUGAUGCCCGCCUCGCCCUGCUUCUCCAGGUCGCACUCGACCAGCUCCAGCCUCGAGGCCGGGGCGCUCCCUUCGCCGAGCUCCAGCCGCUCCACGCUCUGCACGAGGGGCGACGCCCUCUCCUUGCUCCGGACGGCCGCGCGGACGCGGAAGCCAAGCUUGAUGAGCUCCCUACACGCGCAUGGCAUCAUUUCCCAAAUGCAUUACACAUGCAGCAGCGGACGGAACCGCAAACUGCCGGCGGCGAUCGAGCAGAGUCGAAGAGCAGUACCUUACAGUUCGGGAGCCGACCUUCCCCGUGGCACCGGCAACGAAGACGAGGUCCUGCUCCUUCACCGGCGCCGUGGCGGCCGCGGCCAUCGCGUAGACGCGGCCGGCGGGGAAGGAGCGAGCAGAGGAGGAGGGGCGAGCGAGCGAUAUAAGAGGAGCGCCAUGGUGAUACCCGCACCUGCGCGACCUGCGCGCAGACGCAGAGCACGCGAGCGGGCCGUUGCCGCCGGCGACGCGGCACCGGGGCAGCGGCGCCGACAGGGACACGGCGGCGGCCUUGGCCUCCAUGUCGAUCGAGCCGCUGUAGCUCUCCACCGCUCCAGUUACUCCCCGGACGUCACUCGGAUUCCCCUGAUCUCCGGCCCCCGCGGCGGCUGCUCGUGGCCUCGUAUCGCGUCGAGGGGCGAUGUGUGGUGUCCGACGUGGCGCGGCCGCGUGCUCCGGGCUGGGAUAACGUGGGGCCCUCUCCUCAUCCCCUCGUCCAGUGUCCAUGCAAGGAGUGAAGAGAACCGAGGUGGCAUAUGGGGACAUGGCCGGUCGUGCCGUGGAUGGCGACGCGGGCGCUGGAAAGGGCGCGCGCGGGCGUCCGGCUUGGAGCACGACGCCGUGCGUGGUGACUGCGUCCGCGCGUGCUCCACCAUUCCCUGUGCGUGGCGGAAGCUCGUGGCCGGGCUAAUUUUUGGAUGA
rnacentral:rRNA from 1 species